GGGAACCUGAGAAUAGCAGGGACUACAGUUUUGUGAUUGAUCUACAUAUCUGCAAUUAUUGCAUCCUUUUGGUAACAAUUCUGGAAAUCUUUGUACAUCUAUGUUACAUUGCGUUAAACUGGUUGUUGUGGAUAAAGUUGCCGUGGUUGGUGAGGUGAAGUUAGCCAUGCGGAACCCUCAUUGUUUGCCGAUUAGCCGACUAUUGUAAGUGUUUGGUUAUUGUUUUCAGUACCGAAGCUCCUUGGUUACAAAGUUUUUUGGUGUACAUUGUGUUAAAUUGGUUGGAUGUCAAAGGUAUGUUUGAAAUCCCUUUAGCGCUACAACCUAUCUGCUUCCGAAGAAGAUCAUGUACAGUUCCUUCUGCAGUUAUUUCUCUAGUUCUUACAUUCUCUUAUUCAACAAAUGGGUGUCUUAAUGGAUAUGUCAUAGAAUUGUUAAGUGCACACUAUUAAAGGAUAAUGUUUUGUUUUAUAAAUGGUAACCAGUUGGUCAUACUAUAACAAUGAGAAUGCUAGAGCUGUGUUGCUUAAAAAUAUAAAUUGCAGAAGAACUCAUAACAUGGAAAGACAAUAAUCUGCGUUAACAAAUCAACUGGCGUUCUGUAAUAUAAUUUCAGGUGAAACGAAUCAGUGAAGUGGCUCAGGGUAGCAAGAUAUUGGCCGCACACACUGACAGUCCUGGUGUAAGCAUCUGCUUCUGAAUAUUUCAAUUUCAUUUGGUAGCCCUAUCGUACACAUUUGUUUUCCCCUGGUGGUUUUCUGGUAGCCAACAUAAAGCUGGUGGAAACUCUAGGCUACAAGCAGAUGAGUUGAUUCCGAUGGAUUCUACUGUGAGUGGAUAUGCCACUACUUCACUAUUCUCUAAAGCUGUUUGGGUUUCGAUUAAUCCAUUGCUUAGUACAGGAUACCAAUCCCCUUUAAAGUUAGAUGAAGUGCCUUUGCUUCCACCUGAUUUCCAAGCUGUAAGAACGUCAGAGUUUUUACAAAAAAAUUUCCCUAAGCCAGGUGAAAAUAUGAAGUAUCUUGUAUAAAUAACAUUGAUCUGAUGUUUCAGGAAAGACGUAAUAAUUAGUUUCCUUGCGAUAGUGCAGUUGUCUGAUAUAUAUGUCGGAACAACUCUAAUCCGAAGUUUCAUUGCUACUGCUUCUGCGGAUAGAACAAAACUUUGAGCCCAAUUCAAAGUAUGACAUCUUUUCUGCUCUACGUCCUUAUUUUUGACAUAUUCUGUGCUAUGUAAACUUACAAAUUGAAAAUAGCGGUAAAUAACAAUUUUAUUUUUUCUUAUGACAAGUGAAUCCGCAGCGCUGCACCACCCGCCCAGGUUAAAUUCCCACUGAUGUGUCGACUAAUUCUACAUCCAACCUUUUCGGCAAACAGGAAGCGUCUUCAUUUCUCUGCAAUAUUUACAAGAGCCAGUCAACAGUGUUCUGCAGAAGAUUUAGUACCUUGGAAGUUACCAACCACCUUAAGAACCCAGGAUACAUGGAAGUUUUCUGUAUGACCUCUUCUAUGCUAAGAUACAAUUCCAAGACAUGUACUUAUUCUAGCUUUUUUCGAAUGUCUAUGUUGUCUGAAGUUUCUACAAUAGGGUAACUCUUUUCCCACCAGUGACAUGUCUGACUAAUUGUACUCCCAACCUUUACUGCAAACAGGAAGUGAUCUUCAUUCCUCUGCAAUUUUUACUAGAGCCAUUCAACGGUGUUUUGCCGAAGAUUUAGUACCUUGAAG
rnacentral:lncRNA from 1 species